rnacentral:rRNA from 1 species
GUAGGUGGCAAGCGUUGUCCGGAAUUAUUGGGCGUAAAGCGCGCGCAGGCGGUUCUUUAAGUCUGAUGUGAAAGCCCACGGCUCAACCGUGGAGGGUCAUUGGAAACUGGAGAACUUGAGUACAGAAGAGGAAAGCGGAAUUCCACGUGUAGCGGUGAAAUGCGUAGAGAUGUGGAGGAACACCAGUGGCGAAGGCGGCUUUCUGGUCUGUAACUGACGCUGAGGCGCGAAAGCGUGGGGAGCAAACAGGAUUAGACACCCUGGUAGUCCACGCCGUAAACGAUGAGUGCUAAGUGUUAGGGGGUUUCCGCCCCCCUUAGUGCUGCAGCUAACGCAUUAAGCACUCCGCCUGGGAGUACGGCCGCAAGGCUG